UUCGGGUGCAUUGUAGUUGCAUUGCACUUACCGUGUUGGCAACAGGUGCAGUACUUCUGCAAUGCAACCCGAA
rnacentral:pre_miRNA from 21 species